CAAAAACUUGUUCUCUGUUAAGGUGACAUAUCAAAGUUUGGUAUGUCAUGUGUAACAUAAAUGUCAUUCUCUUCCUGUUAGAUUUGUAUGUUGUUUGAUAAUGCAUAAACCCAGUCAAUCGCAAACCUUGCAUGUCAUAAGUAUUGAGACCCCUGCUUACCAAAAUCACCACCAUUGUCCAUGGUAGAGGAGACCGGGGACCAAGUGGGGGAUAGUACCCAUUGUUAGAAAACCAGAAAAUUCAGCAAUUCUAAUAACUUCAACAGGCAUUGCUCUUCCUGCCUUGCUUCUCAUGUUCGUUUUUUCUAGACUGGAAAGAGUUUAAUAAUGCUUACCAAAGAACAUUAUUUUCGGUCAGAAAGUGCAGUAAAUUACUCAUUGCUUGUUGUUCGAUGCUACCUACCAAUUUUACCGUCCUUAUCACUGUUAUAUAUGCCUAGCAUUUCACUGUAAUUCAUAUCCGAGUUGAACUCUCAGUUUCUUUCGUACGAGUAGUUUCCUUUAUUCAUAAUUUUUUUGGGUCUCCAUUGAUUGCUUGAGUUAUCUUUCGUGAGUUGUAAUCCAUUGCCAGAUUUUUACCUUUUCCUUUCUUCUCUGUCUUUUUUCAUUUUUUUUCGUCCUUUUUUUCAUUAUUUACUGCAGAAUUUUCCUCGAUGUUAUUUUUUUCGGGGAAAGUGAAUUUUCAUUCAUCCGCUGUCUCAUCAGUAUUUCUUGUAUUUGCAGUGCAUCUCCUUUUCUAUAAUGCGUUUUUUUUCUUAUAUGAUUAGGGAUGGACCAAGAUCAUACCAGUCAGCGUGCAACUUGCAAUGGCUUCUUGAGGAGACGUGGAGCGGAUAAAACGUAUGGAAUAAAGCUGGUUCGAGGUAAACUCUUUUUUCCUCUCAUCCACAUCGUAAUAAUAAUUUCUUUUAUAUUAUUAUUCAGAUGUUAUAUGGGACAGUUCUUGCGUAGAUGUCUUUAUUCUCGAAGCAAAUAAAAAAGGAUAAAUUAGAUUCUUGUUAUAUUUUAUUCUGUCUUAUUCUUUGAAAUCAACAUGUAUAUAAAUUUAUAUAUUGUUAACCAAGCCAUAUAUAAAUUGGUUUCAUACCAUCUCAAACCCAGCCGAACUGAGAAUUUUUAAAACUCGUGGGCUUGUGUGCUGACAAAAUAUCAUGCCCCUGUUGUCGAAGAACAAGAGAAAGAAAGAAAAGGCUGCAAUGACUUGUACUUGCUAAAUUUGAAAAAGAAGGAAAGCUACGGCUAUGAUGAAAUAACCCUUAAAAAAGAUGCUAUUGCUAUUAUAAUAAUAAUGAAUGACGCUCGUUGGAUUUUCCGAUACUCCAGGACUCUAUACACUUGAAAAGUAGAUAAAUUGGCCUUGAUCGGUAAACUAGCAUAUCUGUUGUUAUCGUGAUGGAUAUGUUGUCCUUGCCACCAUCAUAUGGAAUUUUUAUAUUGGCAUAUUAAAUACCACACGACACAUUACGAGCCUUGUGGUGGAGAAACCAUUUCGAAGAAAUUUGAAUUUUUUUUUAAGGUUAGGCCUCCCCUUUCAUUCUACCUCCACCGGAACAAGGCUUUUUUUUUUGCAAAUAAAUUACCUCCACUUGCUCAAGACAUGGUUCUUAACCACACCUUUAAUCUACAGGCCAAAGAUAAGUUGUUUAGCCUCCAAGACUAUCUUCUUCUUAACUAUGAUAUGUCUUUUUUUUGUUUUCUUUGAUUAGUAUAAAAAAAUAAGUUUUCUUUUAAAUAUAUUAUUUUGAUAUAUUUUUAAAUAAAAAAUAUUUUGAAAAACAAUUAUUACAGUAAUAAAAACAGACUCUAUAACCUUUUUUUUGUUAACAGUGGGUGUCCGGGCCAGCUUACGCGCACCUCGACUAAUCCUUCAAGACCCUGAAAUUAACGACUAUAUAAACCUUUAGUAGCCCUGAGGUUUGUGACACUCAAACUAGUGAUAUCUGAAAAGUAAAUUCAGAGUCUGAUCAAUUAAACUACACUCUUUUUUAACUUAAUUUCAAUAGACUCGUACAAGUUUUUGAUGCACCGAGUUUUUCCUUGUAUAAGGAAAAAAUACAUCAGCGGUUUGGUAAAUUGCAUUUCUUGAAUUAUUUUUCCAUGAAAAUGUUAUACUUGAAAAACUGUUCAGUUGUGAGGUUCUGAUAGCAUCCAUAUAACAGAAGUGUUCUUGAGAUCUUCUGUCAAAGAAUU
rnacentral:lncRNA from 1 species